GUGCCUGAAACACACACACACUUGAACUCAGUAGCCCUUAUUUUAAAGGUACCAUAAGUAAAGUCAGGGUAUGCCUUAUACAUCUUUGAAGAAAACCCCAAGUGGGGUAGAAAUUUGUGGAGAGGCAGUGUGGAAGUCGUGUGUGCGUAUGUGUUCGGGUGUGUGUGUGUGUUGGGAGGAUUGAUCCUGAGGAGAGGUUUUAUUAAGAAAGAUAUGGAGCAAGAGGUUUAGAUUUUUUGAACUGCUGGGCCUAGCUGAACUGCUGGAGUAGGCCACAAUGCUACAUAACAACAUGUUCAUUAUUACAGAAUUUCACUUGAAGCUCUAGAAAGCAGAUUAAAUGGCACCAAAGCACCUCUCGCAUAGAGAGACUCUUGGGUCCAGGGCUCAAAUUUUGAGUGGGGGGGAGGGGUGUUGAUGAGCUCCUCAAGCCCCACCGCCCUCGCUCAACCCUAUUCUCCUCAAAACAUGCUUCUUUAUAUGCCUUAAAAAUAGCUAGUGUAAUUCACUCACAAAUUCUGAGUGUAUUAAAACUGCCAAAAUAUUUAGUCAUUGAAUAAUUUAGACGGAACAACAGGCACCUGUUUCUCACAGGAAACCUUGGCUUCCAAACUGCUAUGGAUACCACUGAACUGAGGAAGACUUUGCAUACCAUGAGUAUAGUGCCUUUUGACUCAACUGAGAGCUUUGCCAAUAAAUCAGAUUCAGCAAUAUGUCAGAGCACAUGUAUUUAAAAACAAUUGUUUGUUUGUUUGUUUUGUUUGUUUGUUAAAUCUAUAUAACCAUUCAUCAAUAAAUACAUCCUGGGCAGCUUACAAGCAAAACAAUAUUAAAAUGCAAUAUAUAAUAAUUAAAAUAAACAAGUAAAUAAUAAAAGCCACACCCCAAAGCCAUCCCACUUUCUCCCAUAGAUUUUGAUUAUGAAACUAUCAUACGCAAAAUGGAGCCUGUUGUCAGUCAAAUCACUGCUCUUCUUUCCUUUGG
rnacentral:lncRNA from 1 species